rnacentral:rRNA from 1 species
CUAUACAUGACUCUGCGCAUAUCAAUAAGCGGAGGAAAAGAAACUAACUAGGAUUCCCUUAGUAAUGACGAGUGAAGCGGGAAGAUCUUACUCGCUUGCGCUAUUUUACCUACGCUUAGGAUGUUGAAGAUAUGCGCGACACGACUCUAUACAUGACUCUGUGCAUAUCAAUAAGCGGAGGAAAAGAGGGCUAUUACCUACGCUUAGGAUGUUGAAGAUAUGCGCGACACGACUCUAUACAUGACUCUGCGCAUAUCAAUAAGCGGAGGAAAAGAAACUAACAAGGAUUCCCCUAGUAACGGCGAGUGAAGCGGGAAGAGCUCAAAUUUGAAAUCUUCAAGGGUUUCCCUUGACGAAUUGUAGUUUAAAGAAGUGUUUUCUGUUAGAGAGGCGGUAAAAGUUCUUUGGAAUAGGACAUCAUAGAGGGUGAGAAUCCCGUAUUUGAUCACUCUCUACUAACGUUGUGAUACACUUUCAAAGAGUCGGAUUGUUUGGGAAUGCAGUCCAAAAUGGGUGGUAAAUUUCAUCUAAAGCUAAAUACUGGCGAGAGACCGAUAGCGAACAAGUACCGUGAGGGAAAGAUGAAAAGAACUUUGAAAAGAGAGUUAAACAGUACGUGAAAUUGUCAAAAGGGAAGCGUUUGACACCAGUGUUGUUUUCUCGAAAAUCAAUUAAAAAUGGCGGGAUUUUGUGUUGUAUUGACUUUAUCAGCUUUCUGCACUUUUUUCCUGUCUUUUUUAAUGCACUUUUCGUUCAACAAGUCAACAUCAAUUUCUUUUGUUGUAAAAGAGUCAUUGGAAGGUGGCUUCCUUUUCGGAGAAAGUGUUUAUAGCCUUUGACUUCUGCAAUCGGAGAGAUUGAGGUCUGCAGCGUAGAUCCUUCGGGGUUAGAUACAUUUGUGCUAAGCUAUAGCCUUUCAUAGACAACUUGUUGACUAUGAUCAGUCAUGUAGCUUACUCGCUUAUGCUAUUUUACCUACGCUUAGGAUGUUGAAGAUAUGCGCGACACG